rnacentral:pre_miRNA from 1 species
UAUGAAAUUGCUGGGACAUAUGUUAACUUUACAUUUAACUUUUAAAGAAGUGCCAGACUGUUUCCCAAAACAGCUGCACCAUUUACAUUCCCAUCAGCAAU